rnacentral:sRNA from 1 species
CCCUAGCCCCGAUAGAAGUGGAAAUCCUUUUGUGUCUCGUUUCUUUAACGAGACACAAAAGAUUGGAACGGAUAGCGGGAAAUAGC